rnacentral:rRNA from 1 species
GGAAACUUGGUUGGGUUGGGUUGGUCUCCUCGAGAGAGAGAGAAAUAUCGUUAUCGUUAUCGAUAUCGGUAUCCAUCGUAUCGUCAUUGGUCUCUCUCUGUGUGAGAGUGAGUACCCUAAGCGAAGGCGAGACGACGACGAACAGGCCAUGGGCGGCGCGCGGAGGACAAGGAGGAGAAAAAGAAGGUGGGGGCACGGGCACACUCACACUGGCCUGGCGGGCGGAGUAGGUAGGUACCACUACCGGUCGCGGCCGCAGUUGUUGUACGGGCUCCCGCGGUAGCUGAGGCUCCUUACGGCGGAUCACGCUUCUGCGUCGGCGGAGUUGCGCGCGGCGAUGCGGGUGGUGCGGAGGAGGCGGGGGCCGGGGCCGGGGCGGCUCCUUCCUCCCCUUCUCCGUCUCGGGAGGAGCCUCCUCCUCCUCCCGAGACGUAGACUGCGCCAACAACGCCGCCGAGGGGUCGUCGACGGGAGGUUCCUCUUCCUCUUCCUCUACCUCUUCCUCUUCCGGUUCAGCACCACCUCUACCGGGCACAGCAAGCCCAGCCACCGCGACCGCCCCGCCGACGCCCUCUACCUCCUGUGCCACAGCGACGUGGGGUCGAAGACGCGGACCCGGCUGCCGAGGGGGUACGUGGAGAAGCGGCAGAAGCUGCCGGUGCCGCCGGGGGUGCAUGCGGUGCGGUACGGUACGGUCCGGCGGAGUGAAUUAAUUAAGAUGACAUAUUAGAUUAGAUUACGGACGAUGAAUUCAUCCAUCAAAAACGAAUCAUUAAUCAUGCAUCACAAUAGAUCAGGGGCCAGGUUUCUCCCGAACUAACUAAUAGAGGUACCUCUCCCUGUGGGACGUCGUAGGUUAGGCUGCUAGGUUCUUCUAUGGAAAGCAACAGCUAGCUCAUGUAUCACGAAGAUCUGGAGGUAGGUGGACCAGUGUAAGGUCGUCGAAGGUGAGGUCUAGGCCGAGGUCGAUGUCGAGCUGUGCAUCGUACGUCGUCAAAUGAUGGAUGUAAGGUAACUAAGAAAGGUAGGUAGGUAGAUAGAUUUAAUAUUUGCGAAUACUACUGUACUUACUAGCUACGUCCGGCGCCGCGACACGUCCCUCGUCUACGUGCAGUAGGAGCGCCUCCUCGACCGGCCGCGCCGCCGGCUGAACGUGGUCUGUCGCCGCCGCAGCAGCAGCAGCAGAAGAAGAAGAAGAAGAAGAAGAAUAAGAAUAACCCUCUUCUUCCUCUUCCUCGUCGUUGUCGUGCUGGUUCUGAGCAGCCUCGUUGUUGUCGUGCUGGUUCUGAGCAGCCUCGUUGAACGCACCGCACCGCGAGACAGGUCCUCGAAGCGGGCCCGCCUGCGCGACCGCCACAGCCGCACGCGCACGCCCGCGCCCUCAUGUACACACGGGUUCAGCACGAGCACGGACGACAGCAGCCGCGUCUUCCCGCGGUAGCACCCCAGCUGACGGCACCACCGCGACGACCAGGCGCUGGCGGAGUAGCACCGGUUGACGCCGCUGAGGGCGCGGCACGAGAGUGCUCCACCGCAGCGGCACGGCGAGAGGGUCCUGGUGUUCGGCCUGGCCGGCCUGCUCUACCGCGCCUAGUUCCGCCGGCCUCCGUUCCAGUACAUGUACUUGCCCCGCGCGCAGGCGCCGUAGGAGCGGUACAGGGCUCGCGAUCCAUAGGAAAGGAAAGGAAAGGAAAGAUGCGUGGAUCCCGACUGAGUUUCGUUGCUAGUACAGGCCCCGGAGGAGUGAGGAGUGCUCCCACUUCUACCUCCGGGCACCAGACAGCCCACGGUGGUCCUACACAGUAAAGCAGCGAAGCGUGUGCACCAGAACGAGGGUAAUUGUUCCUCCCCACUAGUAGUAAUUGUGAUAUUAUCAUAGUAUAGUAUUUCCCCCCUACGAACAGUGGAACACAACAACGGAAGAAUAUAUACCUUUGGUUAAUUGUUGGCGGCCGAAUUAAUCGAUUCCAGAAGCCGGUUAAUGAUUCCUAUUGUGGUAGAAGAUUACCUACUGUGUACAGUGAAAACGACGACAACAACUGUUCUAUUUAUUAAACCAGUGUAGAGGCCGGAGAUUUUGAUUACGGGUAGUGAUCGUUACUGGACUACUCAACACGGUAUGGUUAACCGAUUAAUAAUUGUUUUAACUCGUAUAUACGCUUGGCAUGCACAGGUAGGUAGUGUGCGGUCGGUGAGUUCCAGGCUAGCUGUGAUACCACGGGACCAUAUAUAAAUUAAUAUCUCGUCAAGGUCUAUCAAUGUAAUACUGUCAACUGUUCUUGGUGUCUUUUUACCUCACCUGUUCUUCCGGUGUGUACAAACAGAGGUUAAGCAGUUACGAGUUUCACAACAGAAAAGUCGAAUAAUGAAAAGGAGUUCCAUCGUUAGUACAUUCAUCAGUCCUAUCCAUUGAAAUAACCUGACGGUUAAUCUAGAACAGGCUCAAUUAAUGGAUAUCACCGUACAAUGUAGUAAAACCAAGUUCAGUACGUACGAUGAAAGAAACACGAGUUCAACCGGAAAACUCCAUUUAAGUCAUAACGAUAUAUAACACGGAAAAUGAGCGAUAAUUUAGAAAAAGAAAAGAAAGACUUUGUCGUUCACAUUUAGAACUAUACAACCAUCCAACCACAAUUGUGUAGGACAGCCAAAACCCAUACGGACGGAUGUAGCUAGCCUUCGCCGAAGACAAUACUUGUCACAUGAACGAACCAAAAUUACCUCUCGAUCGCCCAAAAAGAUUAAUAAAGCUUUCUCCUACUUUUCCGUCUCCGGAACUUCAAACAAGUACGGAUGUUGUUUCAAGUAAAGAAGAGUCGUCAUACGUAAUUAAUUAACAAGACUUAGUACGUAGUUCAUAAACUAGAGUAAUUAAACCUGUAACAUUGAUAUAUAAGAACGUCCCGUGUCCGAGGACUUCGGUCUUCACUAUACGCUCGGUCUCUAGUCGUAUUGGCUUUCCACGCUCCUCCUGCUGACGGACUAGGAGCGGUCGCUGCCCGACACCCUGCACUAGAGGUUGUUCCACCGGACGCUGCACCGGUCCGUUACGGACCUUCUGCCCUCGGGGUGGUCUCGAGGACGUCGACGCCGACCCUCGUCGCCGUCGCGCGGCCGCCAAAGGGUCCUCCUUCUCGGGGCCACGAAGGCACGUCGCCGGGAGGAGCGCUCCGACCGGGAGCCCUCCCUCUCGAGGCUAUUGUAAUCGCACCACCACCAACUAGACUUCCGCUCCCCAACUAAUCGAUCCGUCUACUCUAGUGGUGGUAUAGGUAUAGAGGAAUUAAACGUUGGAUCUGGCUGAACCAUCGAUCCUCGAUCGAGAGACUUACACGUCACGUCAGGACCGUUUAAUUCGUCGUUUGAGAGACUCCAAAAGAAACAAGAAACCCAAAAAAGAAGAAAAAACCCCGAUCAAAAACCCACCAGCCAGCCAAAAUAGGCCGGUUUUUCUCAGAGAACAAAGAAGAAGGCUCAUUAGGACCGCACCGCACGGUACCUAUCUCUACUUUUUCCCUGUGUGUGGCUGUCUGUCUGUCUGUCUACCUUUCUUUGUUUUAUAUAUACUACGAGUAAAUACGAGCAGUCAACGACAGAGGUACUUCGUCGACUACACGUGAGUUUUGAUGACGACAAUUAAUAUGAUCACGUUCACACCACUGAGCACGUCCAAACCGACAAACGUA